rnacentral:ncRNA from 19 species
AUGUGAUGAUUUUUAGAUGACGAGUCCUAUUCGGGUUUCCGAUGAGGAUACAAUCUUUUUUACCAUUCAUGCAUUUCCUGAU